rnacentral:rRNA from 1 species
GGGGAAUUUUGGACAAUGGGCGAAAGCCUGAUCCAGCCAUUCCGCGUGCAGGAUGAAGGCCCUCGGGUUGUAAACUGCUUUUGUACGGAACGAAAAGACUCUGGUUAAUACCUAGGGUCCAUGACGGUACCGUAAGAAUAAGCACCGGCUAACUACGUGCCAGCAGCCGCGGUAAUACGUAGGGUGCGAGCGUUAAUCGGAAUUACUGGGCGUAAAGCGUGCGCAGGCGGUUAUGUAAGACAGAUGUGAAAUCCCCGGGCUCAACCUGGGAACUGCAUUUGGGACUGCAUAGCUAGAGUACGGCAGAGGGGGAUGGAAUUCCGCGUGUAGCAGUGAAAUGCGUAGAUAUGCGGAGGAACACCGAUGGCGAAGGCAAUCCCCUGGGCCUGUACUGACGCUCAUGCACGAAAGCGUGGGGAGCAAAC